rnacentral:lncRNA from 1 species
AAAAUGAUUUUUCUUUAUGUAUUAUUUAUUAUUCACCUCAUUAUUUUACAUCUCUCAUUUAUCUCUAUCAUACCAAACAACCAGUUAAAUCCACUCUAUUUUUCACAUCUCUCUCUACUCAACUUCUCUCUUCUCUACUCUCUCUUCUCUAUCUCUCUCUUCACAACCAAACAAAGUGUAAAUGUUGAUGGCAACAUUCUUUGGGAACCAUAUCAAUGUCGUAUUUGGAGGUUGUCUACAGAAUUUCAUAGGAGAAUGGAUUCGUAGGCUAUAUGGGUCAUUUGGCGUGUAAAAAGAAGGUAACUAAAUUUUUGGUGUUGGUAAAAUAUGCUCGGUUGGAAUAUGGUCUCUCACGGUAUAAAGUUGUUAACUAGUCCUUAAUGUUUGUGAAAAAUGUGUGGAGGAUUGGCAUAAGAGAUAUAUUGACUCUUGCAAACACAACCUUACUGGGUAAAGUGGUAUGGACUAUGAUUAACAGGCUGUAGGUAGAAAUUAUGCUUCACAAAUAUCUUGCUGACUCUUCCAUUUUGCAAGUUCAGAAGCGCCAGAAUGUUUCACCACUUUGGAAAGGGAUCUUAAAAGCCCGGGAUCAGUUGCAAGAUGACUUCAAAUAUAGAGUGGACAAUGAUCAUUCCUCUUUGUGGUAUUCAGACUAGAGUAGUAUAGUAAAAAUUGGCAAUCAGAUACCGUAAGUGAAUAUUGAGGAUGCCCUAAGACAAAGAUACAUUAAAUGAUGCAUACCCGUAGUUGAAUAGCAGAAAUCGUACAAAGACGCAGACUAGGAACUGGAGCUGGGUUUGGAAGCUUGAGGUGCUAGAGAAAAUUCGCAUGUUUUUUGUGGUUGGCCUUCCAUGAUGCCAUACAAACUAAUGCGAACAGAUUCAAAUGCCAAUUAGCUCGUUCUCCGGCGUGCUCUAGAUGUUCCUGCCCCCGUGGAGGAUGCGCUUCCCCCGUGAAGGAUCCAGAUAGCUUGCACCACUUCCCAAUAGUUAAGAACAUCAAUGAUCUGAUGGCGAAUGAUUAUUUAGUGUCUCUUCGCCACAUCCCUCGUGAGUGAGUGCUAUGCGAUGGGAGAUUACAAAGCUUGGUGUCUGCUCUCAUCCACCGAGUAUUUGUGUGCUUGAUGUUCUUUUCUCUGAGUGAGCUAGAGUCUUUUAUGUUAAAGAACUCAUUUUCAGUUCCUUCGUCUAUUGUUUAGUUUGUAAUUUUUCG